rfam:Pteropus alecto contig77555, whole genome shotgun sequence.
GUCAACGGCCAUGCCAUCCUGAACAUGCCCAAUCCCGUCUGAUCUCGAAAGCUAAGCAGGGUCAGGCCUGGUUAGUCCUUGGAUGGGAGACCGCCUAGAAAGACCAGGUGCUGUAGGCA